GAUGAACGCUAGCGGCAGGCCUAAUACAUGCAAGUCGAACGGUAAAUAUUGUAGCAAUACGAUAUGAGAGUGACGUACGGGUGCGUAACACGUAUGCAACCUACCCAAAACUGGAGUAUAGCUCGGGGAAACUCGAAUUAACCCUUCAUAGUAUCAUUGGAUGGCAUCAUUUGGUGAUUAAAUCUUCGGAGGUACAAGAUGGGCAUGCGUCUGAUUAGUUAGUUGGCGGGGUAACGGCCCACCAAGACGAUGAUCAGUAGGGGAACUGAGAGGUUGAUCCCCCACACUGGCACUGAGAUACGGGCCAGACUCCUACGGGAGGCAGCAGUAGGGAAUAUUGGUCAAUGGAUGGAGGUCUGAACCAGCCAUGCCGCGUGCAGGAAGAAGGCCUUCUGGGUUGUAAACUGCUUUUGCCAGGGGAUAAAAUGACCGUGCGCGGUUAAUUGAAGGUACCUGGCGAAUAAGCCACGGCUAACUACGUGCCAGCCGCCGCUGUAA
rnacentral:rRNA from 1 species